AUGGAGCCCUCCAAGGGCCCUGAGUGUCUGAUGAACUCCCAACAAAUCAGUGACCAGUAAACCUCUGGAAAGGAAGGGUUGCUGCAGAGAAACCUGAGAUAUGGGUCUCCGUGAGGAGCCUACACUCUACCCUAAAGCUGACACUCAGAGGGGAAAGCUGUGAAAGGUUCACUCCUGCGGAGCCCCACUAGACAGUAAUGGCGCUGCAUUCAUGGCCUCCGGAUAUACGUGGAGUUUCAUCAAUUUUGUUUCAUGGAGGAUUUAAAAGGCCGAGUAAGAUGCAAAAAAGAAAUUUCUUUUUAGCACCG
rnacentral:lncRNA from 1 species